rnacentral:rRNA from 1 species
UACGUAGGGGGCAAGCGUUGUCCGGAAUCAUUGGGCGUAAAGAGCGUGUAGGCGGCCAGAAAAGUCCGCUGUGAAAACCCGCGGCUUAACUGCGGGCUUGCGGUUGAUACGGGCGGGCUAGAGUUCGGUAGGGGAGACUGGAAUUCCUGGUGUAGCGGUGAAAUGCGCAGAUAUCAGGAGGAACACCGGUGGCGAAGGCGGGUCUCUGGGCCUUACCUGACGCUGAGGAGCGAAAGCGUGGGGAGCGAACAGG